UUUUUAGGGGUGCCCCAACUUGGUAAGACCAAUGGCUGAGAACAAACCCUAGAACCUGAUCCGGAUAAUACCGGCGGAGGAAAAAUU
rnacentral:ncRNA from 1 species